UACAGAGGGUGCGAGCGUUGUCCGGAAUCACUGGGCGUAAAGGGCGCGUAGGUGGCGAGCCAAGUCCAUGGUGAAAGCUCGAUGCUCAACAUCGAGUCGGCCACGGAUACUGGUGCGCUGGAGCACUGUAGAGGCAGAUGGAAUUCCGGGUGUAGCGGUGAAAUGCGCAGAUAUCAGGAGGAACACCGAUGGCGAAGGCAGCUCGCUGGGACGUGACUGACGCUGAGACGCGAAAGCGUGGGGAGCAAACAGGG
rnacentral:rRNA from 1 species